UUCCUUCCUUCCUUCCUUUCCUUCCUUCCUUCCUUUCCUUCCUUCCUUCUUUCCUUCCUUCCUUCCUUCCUUUCCUUCCUUCCUUCCUUCCUUUCCUUCCUUCUUUUCUUUCCUCUUUCCUUCCCCAUAUAUCUCAUGCCUAGAACAGUGCCUUAAACUUCGUAAUAAUAUUACUAACCAAGGCUUACUAUGUGCCAAACACGGUGUUAGACACUUUAUAAUUAUCUCAGUUGUUUCUUACAGCCUUGGGAGGUAGGUGAUAUUAAUCAUCCCCAUUUUACUGAUGAGGAAAUUAAGGCAGAGAUUAAGGGACUUGUCCAAGGUCACAAGGUUAGUGUUUUAGGCCUGAUUUGAAUUUAGGUUCUCCUGUCUCCAGGUCCAAAACUCAAUCCACUGCCCUACCUCUCUGUAGGAGUAGGAACUUAAUUAGUAUUUUUUCAAUUGAAUUGAACCCAUACUUGAUCCUGAAUCACCUCUAUAAGUCUGACAAAAUGGGGACAAGAACAAGGUUUUGCCAACUCCAAGGCUGUCUUCUUGUGUUCAGAAGUGUGAAAAUCAUGAGAUUUUCAUGAGAAAGAUCAUCUAAGAGUUGUUCUCUUCUUAUAAUGUGAGACCUUGUGAUGAAAUGAGAAAGAAUCAAGGAAUCUGAGUUAUAGUCCUAGUUCUAUCUCUGAUUCACUUAAGUGGCCUUAAGCAAGUCAACUUCCUUCUCUGAACCCCAGUUUUUUUCCUCUAUUAAAAAUAUAAAGUUGUGAAGACAUGAUCUCCAAGGAUCCUUCUUUUCUAAUGUUCCUUGAAGUUGAUUUCUGCUUAUGUAAGUAAAAACCUAAAAUUCAGAGCUGUCCAAAAGCAGAAAGGACUGCCUCACAAGGUAGUGAGAUCUCCCAUCACAAGGGAGGUUUUCAUGUAUAGCCUGGGUAAUUCUUGAUUGGAGAUAAUGUAGUAUAGAUUCCAGCUCAGAGAGGCACUGGUCCAGAUGUCUUCUGGAAAGCUUUUCUAGUUCCAAAAUUCUGGGAUUAUACAAUUUAAUAACUAUCCCCAACUCUUCUAUUCAUUAAUUAUGGGUCCUUUGGCGGGGGGGGGGAAUAAUCACUUCUUUUUGACCUCAGUUUCCCUGUAAAAUGUGGGAUAAUCACCCUGUCCUAGCUUACUUAACAUUUAUUAUGUGGAGCAAAUGAGGUAAAAGAGAUACCUGGUAAAGUGCACAAAUAAAAGAUGGUGAUAGUGAUGGUGAUAGUGAUAACUUCCAUUUCUUUGGAGCUUUUCUAGUGAACAAAGUGCUUUCUUUUGCAACUCACAGAUUCCAUUAUCUCAAGGAGAGUUUUGGUAAAA
rnacentral:lncRNA from 1 species